rnacentral:rRNA from 1 species
UACAGAGGUCUCAAGCGUUGUUCGGAUUCAUUGGGCGUAAAGGGUGCGUAGGCGGCUCGGUAAGUGAGGUGUGAAAACUCCAGGCUCAACCUGGAGACGCCACCUCAUACUGCCGUGGCUAGAGUCCGGUAGGGGAGCAUGGAAUUCCUGGUGUAGCGGUGAAAUGCGCAGAUAUCAGGAGGAACACCAGUGGCGAAGGCGGUGCUCUGGGCCGGAACUGACGCUGAGGAGCGAAAGCGUGGGGAGCAAACAGG